rnacentral:rRNA from 1 species
CCUACGGGUGGCAGCAGUGAGGAAUAUUGGUCAAUGGGCUUACGCCUGAACCAGCCAAGUCGCGUGAGGGAAGACUGCCCUAUGGGUUGUAAACCUCUUUUGUCAGGGAGCAAUUGGCGCUACGUGUAGCGUCAUCGAGCGAACCUGAAGGAAACACAUCGGCUAACUCCGUCCCAGCAGCCGCGGUAGUACGGAGGAUGCGAGCGUUAUCCGGAUUUAUUGUGUUUAAAGGGUGCGUAGGCGGAAUGCCAAGUCAGCGGUAAAAUCGCGGGGCUCAACCUCGCUCCGCCGUUGAUACUGGCGUUCUUGAGUGGGCGAGAAGGAUGCGGAAUGCGUGGUGUAGCGGUGAAAUGCAUAGAUAUCACGCAGAACUCCGAUUGCGAAGGCAGCAUACCGGCGCCCAACUGACGCUGAAGCACGAAAGCGUGGGUAUCGAACAGGAUUAGAUACCCGGGUAGUC